UAUCCUAUUUACUCUUCGAGUCCGGGUAUAAAAAUGGAAAAAUAAAUGCAUUGAAGCAGGACCCUCCUUUUGUUGGGAUUGGAGGCUCUUGUCGUAGCGGAGGAGGAGGGCAAUCAAUCCCGACAUCGUUGAGUAAACCUAUAUCUGCGGGAAAGAAACAUAAAGGGUCGUUUUUCUAUAGAUGUGAGUAUUACAACUUAUAUACAUUGUGCAUAUGUAUGGGAACAAAUCUAACAAUUCCCUUUGGACAUUCCGCAGUUAGAAAAUAUGAUGGAGACGACAUUAGUAUUCUUUGAGAAUUUGCAUAUGUCUAAGAAUAACUUCUGCAGCCUUCUUGGAUUAUUGGAGCAGCAGCGCCGUGACAAGGAAUAUUUUCGCCCAGGGCGAAGUUAUAAACGGCUCCUUCGCCCCAUCCCCUCCCUCCUUUCGGCAAGACCCUGUGGAGAAGUACAUGGAACCAACAGGAAAACAGCUUAAAACAUUUU
rnacentral:lncRNA from 1 species